GAAAAAAACCAAGUGAUGUACACUGUCACUCACAGAAACUCUAAGUCAACAAGUACAGAGACGCAGAGUGAAAAACCCAAGCCCUUUAAAGAGGCUUGUACGUUCUUGUGAGAGAGCAGGCCGGUCUUUCUCGGCGAGACAAAGGUGCGGGACAGUUUAUUAGUUCAAGGCUGAGCUCCCCGGCUGCCACUGCCGGCGCCUCUUCAAGGCCAGCUCCCGGCCCUUGCCGGUCCUUCAGAUUUAAUGUUGCCAUUUUACUCUGGAAUCUGGUUAAAAUGAAUAACCCCUUUGGAGAACAACAGAAGUCGUCUUUGCUCUGCCAUCUUUCACCACUUCCAGAGUUUUCAUGCAAGAUGCCUCCAGUUCCUCUGCUCAAAGGUCUGAGUGUCUCCUGCGAGAGGCGUGGUAACCUGAGGCCCUUCUAGAAGGAGGGUCAGUGGGCUGCUUCCGGUCCCCCGCUGUCCUGCCCCACUGUGCGUCUCACAGCGUUGUCUGCUCUAGCGGCCGGCUGGGACCUCCUCCCCUUUCCUACUGCUCUGUUGAACAUCAUCUGGGACUUCAGUUCAAGGGUUUGUUUGUUUUCACGCUGUACUCCUGCUUCCUCCAAGCCACAGACAACAGGAGCGUUGCUUCCAGAAAAUGCAAGAUCGCAGUCUGUAGCAGAGAGCUUGGUUCAAUUCCCCAUUCUUGGCCUUACCCCAAAGAUAAGGAAGAAAAGCUCCCCCUUCUGCCCCGAAUCCUCCCUGAAGGACCAGCCUCGGCUGGGAGAAUCAGAUCUGGUAACUUCUGGUCCCAAGCGUGUUCCCUUGGCCACUGCUGCAGUGAGAGUGAGGCCAGUAAGGGUGGAUUUGGAAUCCGGGAGUCGUCCGUUCAGUUUUGGAUCCUAGGAAGGAGUCGAUGAUCCCUACCGAGGCGCUUUCCAUGGUCCACCAGAAAAGGGCUUCCCUGAAAGCAGAUAAGGAAUCCAGAACUGUGAUGGGAUUAAGGUGCUUCUCCCCUGAAAGCAGAUAAGGAAUCCAGAACUGUGAUGGGAUUAAGGUGCUUCUCCCCAGACCAUGUCCCUCCAGCCUGAGGAACCUGCCCUACCUACGGUGUCUCCCCGCACAGUGGGGAGUUAGGGUCUCCGUGAGCUGUCUGGAUCAGCCACAUGGGUUAAAGAGAGAAGCCCAGUUCGUCAGGAAAUCUCCCUCUUCCUAUCUUGAAACCCCUAAGGCUCCUCCUUCAGAGGGCGGUGCCCAGCGGAUUAGCUUAGGUUCUGGUCUGCAGGCCCUAGAAAUGGCCUCUGAUGAACUCAGUCAAACUGGGGACACCUGAAUUUCCGGUCCUCACCAGAGGCUGGGGACAGGGCCGCUCCGGGAAUCUCAGCAGUGAGCGAUCACGGUCAGUUCCUGGGGCUCGUCUCGGGGGCCGCCACCAGAGGCCAGUGCCCCAGCCGCCCACAUGAGCUCACCCUACAGGCUCCCAGGGGACAGGCUCUGGGCCCAGUGUUCACCUCGUGGUCACCAGCGGACCCACCCGUGGACCAGGGAUUGACAAUGCCAUGAUGAAGCCAGUCCGCUGCAGGCGACCUUGUGGGCAAGAAGUAGGACGUUUCCUUAUUGAAGCGGGUGGUGUUGCUGACAUGGGUGGCGCCAUGCACAUGACCCUCUCGGCCCCCGGCACCCUGGACAUGCCCCUCUUCCUGCUGGUGCCCCCUGUGACAUAACGUGGCUCCCCUGCGAGAAGCUACCAGCGGGCUUACUUCCUGACAAUCAGAAGAAAUCUCCAAAGUCACACACAGCUCUGCUCUGCCGUUGAGGCCGUGGGUCAGAGCUCUGAGUCCGGGAGCCCUGGCUGGUAGGCACGCCGCCACUGCUAUUUGGCAAAACAUGGA
ensembl:lncRNA